GGCUCAGGAUGAACGCGGCGGUAUGCUUUACACAUGCAAGUCGUACGGAAGUUUUUAACUUAGUGGCGGACGGUGAGUAACACGUAAGAAUUUGCCUUUAGGAGGGGGAUAACAACUGGAAACGGUUGCUAAUACCCCAUAUGCUUUCGAGUGAAACGGUUUUUCCGCCUAAAGAGAAGCUUGCGGCUGAUUAGCUUGUUGGUAAGGUAAUGGCUUACCAAGGCGACGAUCAGUAUCUGGUUUGAGAGGACGAUCAGACACACUGGAACUGAGACACGGUCCAGACUCCUACGGGAGGCAGCAGUGGGGAAUUUUCCGCAAUGGGCGAAAGCCUGACGGAGCAAUACCGCGUGAGGGAUGACGGCCUAUGGGUUGUAAACCUCUUUUUUCAGGGAGGAAUCAAUGACGUGUACCUGAAGAAUAAGCAUCGGCUAACUCCGUGCCAGCAGCCGCGGUAAGACGGAGGAUGCAAGUGUUAUCCGGAAUCACUGGGCGUAAAGCGUCUGUAGGUGGUUUAAUAAGUCAACUGUUAAAUCUUGAGGCUUAACCUCGAAAUCGCAGUCGAAACUAUUAGACUAGAGUAUAGUAGGGGUAAAGGGAAUUUCCAGUGGAGCGGUGAAAUGCGUAGAUAUUGGAAAGAACACCAAUGGCGAAGGCACUUUACUGGGCUAUUACUAACACUGAGAGACGAAAGCUAGGGUAGCAAAUGGGAUUAGAUACCCUGGUAGUCC
rnacentral:rRNA from 1 species